AUUGAGCUUGGCGCCUCUCUCUCUCUCUCCACACACACACAAUAAGCUCUUCUGUGGGGGCAAUAUGGGUAAACUAGCGCUCAUCAAAGGAGCGGAUCAAAGACCAGAGUAAAAAGAAAGACUAAAGGAAUUGGGAGUUACCCAAAAUAAGACUCAGGGGACAUGAUUACUAUCUUCACUCUAAACAGCUGCCCACGAGGGAAAAUAAGUAGAAAGACCGGAGACCUAUAACCAAAUCCAUCCAGGACCAGACUGGGUUACUUUGGAACAGUCUUAGGACGGAGAGCCGUCCUAAACCGUUCGCCAAAUUAUUAGGGUAUUAUUUGGGAUUUUAAAAGAUACUUCCAUUCCGAAUAGGUAAGAGUAGGGGGAAACCUGAUGACUCUCAGUUCUCUUCGCUUUGGAGGAUGUUUUGGGGUUCACCUGUCUACCUGGGAACCCCUUCCCCUGCUGUGCUCCAAGGUUGUCCGCGGUUCCCCGUCUGAGGUUCGAAACCUGCCGUAGCCGCCGGGUGCUGGCCGGGCUCCAGGCAGGACAACACAGAAGGAAGUUGAUCCCCCUUUGCUACUUUUCUGGAACUUUCUCCUGGUCAGCAACUGGAAUCGCACAACCAAGUCCUUGAUGAAGCCAGACCCUGGUUUGUCCCCUCCAAGCCCUGCGGUCCAAGCCCUGUGGUUUCCAUCAGGCCAUUCCCACCCACAGCUUACUCCAGUUCACUCCAAAUCUUCAUGGACACAAGCAGAGAGCAUUUCCUAGUGAUUUAAAAUGACUUCUGUGCCACCAAAGAGUAUUGUUAAGUUUUACUUUUAAUGGGUGAAUGUCCCUCUACCCAGAUGUCCUUGGAACAGGGAGACAAAAAGAAGAACUUGCUAGAUCA